GGAAAGUGAGAUACCAGGGAGAUGAAACCAAAACUGGAAUGGCGAGUUUACCUUUAUCACCUCUCCUUAUCAAGGGCUAAUAGAUGUAGCUUGUCAUUCCAGUUUUGGGUUCCUCCUCCUGGUAUCUCACUUUCC